CAGUCGAGCGAGCGGAACCACAGAUUUACUUCGGUAAUGACGUUGGGAAAGCGAGCGGCGGAUGGGUGAGUAACACGUGGGGAACCUGCCCCUAAGUCUGGGAUACCAUUUGGAAACAGGUGCUAAUACCGGAUAAUAAAGCAGAUCGCAUGAUCAGCUUUUGAAAGGCGGCGUAAGCUGUCGCUAAGGGAUGGCCCCGCGGUGCAUUAGCUAGUUGGUAAGGUAACGGCUUACCAAGGCGACGAUGCAUAGCCGAGUUGAGAGACUGAUCGGCCACAUUGGGACUGAGGCACGGCCCAAACUCCUACGGGAGGCAGCGGUAGGGAAUCUUCCACAAUGGACGCAAGUCUGAUGGAGCAACGCCGCGUGAGUGAAGAAGGUUUUCGGAUCGUAAAGCUCUGUUGUUGGUGAAGAAGGAUAGAGGUAGUAACUGGCCUUUAUUUGACGGUAAUCAACCAGAAAGUCACGGCUAACUACGUGCCAGCAGCCGCGGUAAUACGUAGGUGGCAAGCGUUGUCCGGAUUUAUUGGGCGUAAAGCGAGCGCAGGCGGAAAAAUAAGUCUAAUGUGAAAGCCCUCGGCUUAACCGAGGAACUGCAUCGGAAACUGUUUUUCUUGAGUGCAGAAGAGGAGAGUGGAACUCCAUGUGUAGCGGUGGAAUGCGUAGAUAUAUGGAAGAACACCAGUGGCGAAGGCGGCUCUCUGGUCUGCAACUGACGCUGAGGCUCGAAAGCAUGGGUAGCGAACAGGAUUAGAUACCCUGGUAGUCCAUGCCGUAAACGAUGAGUGCUAAGUGUUGGGAGGUUUCCGCCUCUCAGUGCUG
rnacentral:rRNA from 1 species